rnacentral:lncRNA from 1 species
GAAAAAAAAGGAGAAAAAAAUAAUUUACAAUCCUAAGUGUAAUCAUCAAGAGUUAAAGUUUGUAGCAGGAAUGAAAUUAAAAAAUGCAGAACAAUUUAGAGGAGCAAUACAGAAUUAUGCUAUUGCAAAUGGGUAUAGGAUGUGUGGUGGAAAAGGACUGGAGAACAUAGGAUGGAAGCACAAUGUAAAGGAAACUGCAGAUGGAGA